rnacentral:rRNA from 1 species
ACUACAUGUACAGGAUAGGUGGGAGGCUUUGAAACCAGGACGCCAGUUUUGGCGGAGCCAUCCUUGGGAUACCACCCUUGUAGUACUGGGACUCUAACCAUAGGCCAUGAAUCUGGUCUUGGGACACUGUCAGGUGGGCAGUUUGACUGGGGCGGUCGCCUCCCAAAAGGUAACGGAGGCGCUCAAAGGUUCUCGCAGUACGGUCGGAAAUCGUACGUAGAGUGUAAAGGCAAAAGAGAGCUUGAUUGCAAGACAUACAGGGCGAGCAA